rnacentral:rRNA from 1 species
UACGAAGGAUGCAAGCGUUAUCCGGAUUUAUUGGGUUUAAAGGGUGCGUAGGCGGACUUAUAAGUCAGUGGUGAAAUCUCGAUGCUUAACAUCGAACGUGCCAUUGAUACUGUAGGUCUUGAGUACAGAUGCCGUUGGCGGAAUGUGUCAUGUAGCGGUGAAAUGCAUAGAUAUGACACAGAACACCGAUUGCGAAGGCAGCUGACGAAACUGUAACUGACGCUGAGGCACGAAAGCGUGGGGAGCAAACAGG